AAUCAACGCUGGCGGCGUGCCUCAGACAUGCAAGUCGAACGAUUAAAGCUCUCUUCGGAGAGUGCAUAGAGUGGCGCACGGGUGAGUAACACGUAAGUAAUCUGCCUUUGAGUGGGGAAUAACAGUCGGAAACGAUUGCUAAUACCGCAUAACGCAGCGGCACCGCAAGGUGACAGUUGUUAAAGGAGCAAUCCGCUUAAAGAGGAGCUUGCGGCAGAUUAGCUUGUUGGUAAGGUAACGGCUUACCAAGGCUACGAUCUGUAUCCGGUCUAAGAGGACGGUCGGACACACUGACACUGAAUAACGGGUCAGACUCCUACGGGGAGGCAGCAGUCGGGAAUUUUGGACAAGUGGGGGCAACCCUGAUCCAGCCAUUCCGCGUGAGUGAA
rnacentral:rRNA from 1 species